AUACGUAGGGUGCAAGCGUCAAUCGGAAUUACUGGGCGUAAAGCGUGCGCAGGCGGUUUUGUAAGACAGUGGUGAAAUCCCCGGGCUCAACCUGGGAACUGCCAUUGUGACUGCAAGGCUGGAGUGCGGCAGAGGGGGAUGGAAUUCCGCGUGUAGCAGUGAAAUGCGUAGAUAUGCGGAGGAACACCGAUGGCGAAGGCAAUCCCCUGGGCCUGCACUGACGCUCAUGCACGAAAGCGUGGGGAGCAAACAGGAUUAGAUACCCUGGUAGUCCACGCCCUAAACGAUGUCAACUGGUUGUUGGGUCUUCAUUGACUCAGUAACGAAGCUAACGCGUGAAGUUGACCGCCUGGGGAGUACGGCCGCAAGGUUGAAACUCAAAUGAAUUGACGGGG
rnacentral:rRNA from 1 species